GACUGAGACUGAUUCCAGCUGUGAGGAACUGCAGGAAGGCAGAAAAAACUUGGACGGGGCGUCCAUCUGAGCCACACUUUGGAAUCUCGAUCUGACGGGGGCUCCCUGGGCUCUGGUGUCCAGCAGGUUUUCUAACUGUGGACUGUCAGAGACUCACUGUGAAGUCG